rnacentral:tRNA from 1 species
GCCCGGGUGGCGAAAUUGGUAGACGCAACGGACUUAAAAUCCGUCUUCCGCAAGGAAAUACCGGUUCAAGUCCGGUCCUGGGCACCA